rnacentral:rRNA from 1 species
UUCUAUUAAAAUCAUUAAUAGUAUAAUCUGCUCAAUGACAUUAAAUAGCCGCAGAAUCUGUGCUAAGGUAGCAUAAUCAUUUGUCUUUUAAAUAAAGACUAGUACAAAAGAUUGAACAUUUUAAUUAAUUUCUUUAAAUUAAUAUUUCAAAUUUAACAAAAAUGUAAAAAGACAUUUAUAUUUCAGAAAGACGAUAAGACCCUAUUGAACUUAACUAUAGUUAAACUGGGGUAGUUAAUUAAUUAAAACUUUAAUAAAAAUAUUAAAAUAAUUGAUCUAAUACAAUUAACUUUAUAAUCAAGUUACCAUAGGGAUAACAGCGUAAUAUAAAUUUAAAGAUCUUAUAAAAAUAUAAGAUUACGACCUCGAUGUUGAAUAAUAUUCUAUACAUCGCAAAAGAUGAAUAAUGAGAGUCUGUUCGACUUUUAAAUAAUUACA